rnacentral:rRNA from 1 species
GGGUGAGUAAUGCGUGACCAACCUGCCCCAUGCUCCAGAAUAGCUCUUGGAAACGGGUGGUAAUGCUGGAUGCUCCAACUUGACGCAUGUCUUGUUGGGAAAGUGUUUAGUGGCAUGGGAUGGGGUCGCGUCCUAUCAGCUUGUAGGCGGGGUAAUGGCCCACCUAGGCUUCGACGGGUAGCCGGCCUGAGAGGGCGGACGGCCACAUUGGGACUGAGAUACGGCCCAG